rnacentral:rRNA from 1 species
CCUACGGGUGGCAGCAGUGGGGAAUUUUGGACAAUGGGGGCAACCCUGAUCCAGCCAUGCCGCGUGCGGGAAGAAGGCCUUCGGGUUGUAAACCGCUUUUGUCAGGGAAGAAAUCUUCCGAGCUAAUACCUUGGGAGGAUGACGGUACCUGAAGAAUAAGCACCGGCUAACUACGUGCCAGCAGCCGCGGUAAUACGUAGGGUGCAAGCGGGGAUCAGAAUUAGCGGGGGUGGAGCGUGAGCAGGCGGUUGAAAUCCCCGGGCUUAACCUGGGAACUGCACUUGUGACUGUACGGCUGGAGUACGGCAGAGGGGGAUGGAAUUCCGCGUGUAGCAGUGAAAUGCGUAGAUAUGCGGAGGAACACCGAUGGCGAAGGCAGUCCCCUGGGCCUGUACUGACGCUCAUGCACGAAAGCGUGGGGAGCAAACAGGAUUAGAUACCCCGGUAGUC